rnacentral:rRNA from 1 species
UACGUAGGGGGCUAGCGUUGUCCGGAAUCAUUGGGCGUAAAGAGCGUGUAGGCGGCCCGGUAAGUCCGCUGUGAAAGUCGGGGGCUCAACCCUCGAAUGCCGGUGGAUACUGUCGGGCUAGAGUGCGGAAGAGGCGAGUGGAAUUCCUGGUGUAGCGGUGGAAUGCGCAGAUAUCAGGAGGAGCACCGAUGGCGAAGGCAGCUCGGCUGGGACGGUACUGACGCUGAGGCGCGAAAGCGUGGGGAGCGAACAGG